GCACAAGCGGUGGAUGAUGUGGAUUAAUCGAUGCAACGCGAAAACCUUACCUACCUUGACAUGUCCGGAAUCCCGAAGAGAUUUGGGAGUGCUCGCAAGAGAACCGGAACACAGGUGCUGCAUGGCUGUCGUCAGCUCGUGUCGUGAGAUGUUGGGUUAAGUCCCGCAACGAGCGCAACCCUUGUCAUUAGUUGCCAUCAUUUGGUUGGGCACUCUAAUGAGACUGCCGGUGACAAACCGGAGGAAGGUGGGGAUGACGUCAAGUCCUCAUGGCCCUUAUGGGUAGGGCUUCACACGUCAUACAAUGGUCGGUACAGAGGGUUGCCAACCCGCGAGGGGGAGCUAAUCCCACAAAGCCGAUCGUAGUCCGGAUCGCAGUCUGCAACUCGACUGCGUGAAGUCGGAAUCGCUAGUAAUCGUGGAUCAGCAUGUCACGGUGAAUACGUUCCCGGGUCUU
rnacentral:rRNA from 1 species